GCGACUGCUAUUUGGGUGAGGAUAAGCCAUGCGAGUUGAAUGGGAUACCUAAAGUUCCCAUAGCAAACUGCUCAGUAACACAUGAUCAAUUUGCCCUAUAGAGAAAACUAACCUCGGGAAACUGAGGAUAAUGUUUCAUAGCUGAAUUGGCUUGGAAAAGUUUUUCAAUAAAAGGGAUAAGAAAAAUGGUUUUUAUCUGCUAUAGGAUAGGAUCGUGUUCGAUUAUGGUUGUUGGUGAGGUAAUGGCUCACCAAGCCGAUAAUCGAUAGGGGCCGUGAGAGCGGGAGCCCCGAGAUGGGUACUGAGACAACGACCCAGGCCUUACGAGGCGCAGCAGGCGCGAAACCUCCGCAAUACACGAAAGUGUGACGGGGUUACCCAAAGUGUUCAAUUUUGAACUGUGGUAGGUGAGUAAUGUUCCCUACUAGAAAGGAGAGGGCAAGGCUGGUGCCAGCCGCCGCGGUAAAACCAGCUCUUCAAGUGGUCGGGAUAAUUAUUGGGCUUAAAGUGUCCGUAGCCGGUUUAGUAAGUUCCUGGUAAAAUCGGGUAGCUUAACUAUCUAUAUGCUAGGAAUACUACUAUACUAGAGGGCGGGAGAGGUCUGAGGUACUACAGGGGUAGGGGUGAAAUCUUAUAAUCCUUGUAGGACCACCAGUGGCGAAGGCGUCAGACUGGAACGCGCCUGACGGUGAGGGACGAAAGCCAGGGGAGCGAACCGGAUUAGAUACCCGGGUAGUCCUGGCCGUAAACGAUGCAUACUAGGUGAUGGCACGGCCAUGAGCCGUGUCAGUGCCGUAGGGAAACCGUUAAGUGUGCCGCCUGGGAAGUACGGUCGCAAGGCUAAAAC
rnacentral:rRNA from 1 species